rnacentral:misc_RNA from 1 species
GAUGAAGAACGUAGCGAAAUGCGAUAACUAAUGUGAAUUGCAGAAUUCAGUGAAUCAUCGAGUCUUUGAACGCACAUUGCGCCCAUUAGCAUUCUAGUGGGCAUGCCUGUUCGAGCGUCAUUUCAACCCUUAAGCCCUGUUGCUUAGCGUUGGGAGCCUACAGUACUGUAGCUCCCCAAAGUUAGUGGCGGAGUCGGUUUCACACUCUAGACGUAGUAAUUUUUUCUCGUCUGUAGUUGAGCCGGUCCCCUGCCGUAAAACACCCAAUUUAUCAAGGUUGACCUCGGAUCAGGUAGGAAUACCCGCUGAACUUAAGCAUAUCAAUAAGCGGAGGA